CCAGACUCCUACGGGAGGCAGCAGUGGGGAAUUUUGGUCAAUGGGCGAGAGCCUGAACCAGCCAAGUAGCGUGCAGGAUGACGGCCCUAUGGGUUGUAAACUGCUUUUAUGCGGGGAUAAAGUGAGGGACGUGUCCUUCAUUGCAGGUACCGCAUGAAUAAGGACCGGCUAAUUCCGUGCCAGCAGCCGCGGUAAUACGGAAGGUCCGGGCGUUAUCCGGAUUUAUUGGGUUUAAAGGGAGCGUAGGCCGUGGAUUAAGCGUGUUGUGAAAUGCAGGUGCUCAACGUCUGCACUGCAGCGCGAACUGGUCCACUAGAGUGUGCACAACGCAGGCGGAAUUCGUCGUGUAGCGGUGAAAUGCUUAGAUAUGACGAAGAACUCCGAUUGCGAAGGCAGCUUGCGGGAGCACAACUGACGCUGAAGCUCGAAAGUGCGGGUAUCGAACAGGAUUAGAUACCCUGGUAGUCCGCACGGUAAACGAUGGAUGCCCGUUGUCAGGCUGUUUCAGCCUGGUGACCAAGCGAAAGCAUUAAGCAUCCCACCUGGGGAGUACGCCGGCAACGGUGAAACUCAAAGGAAUUGACGGGGGCCCCGCACAAG
rnacentral:rRNA from 1 species